UGGGGAAUAUUGCACAAUGGGCGCAAGCCUGAUGCAGCCAUGCCGCGUGUGUGAAGAAGGCCUUCGGGUUGUAAAGUACUUUCAGCGGGGAGGAAGGGAGUAAAGUUAAUACCUUUGCUCAUUGACGUUACCCGCAGAAGAAGCACCGGCUAACUCCGUGCCAGCAGCCGCGGUAAUACGGAGGGUGCAAGCGUUAAUCGGAAUUACUGGGCGUAAAGCGCACGCAGGCGGUCUGUCAAGUCGGAUGUGAAAUCCCCGGGCUCAACCUGGGAACUGCAUUCGAAACUGGCAGGCUAGAGUCUUGUAGAGGGGGGUAGAAUUCCAGGUGUAGCGGUGAAAUGCGUAGCGAUCUGGAGGAAUACCGGUGGCGAAGGCGGCCCCCUGGACAAAGACUGACGCUCAGGUGCGAAAGCGUGGGGAGCCAACAGG
rnacentral:rRNA from 1 species